UCCUCCUCCUCUUCGCUGAUCUCUAUGGCGGACUUGUGCGGGGGGAGAGAGAUCGCGGUAGGUUUGGUGCUGCUGUCAGAUGCCAGCCUGGAACCCCAUCUUCUGACUCUGGGAUUUUGUGCUGGCCAUUCAAACAUCGCAUGCCUGGCGUACACUUCCUCCUCAACUCUGUCAUUCUUCAACAUGUAGCACAAGCUCCAUCUUCUAAGCAAAGCCUUUCCUGAUGCAAUCAACUUAAAAAAAAUUUCAUGCCCUUCCUUCUGAAUUAUCUUGAAUUUCACCAUUUUUCUUUCCUUUCCUUUCUUUUUUUUUUUUUUUAAUGGGUAGCUAGGUGCCAGUAAAAAGAAUGUUGGGUCUGGAAUCAGAGAUUUGAAUUCAAAUCUGGCAUCAGACACUUACUAUGUGACCCUGAGUGUAUCCCUUAACCCUUUUUGCCUCAGUUUCUUCAUCUAUAAAAUGAGUUAGAGGAAAAAAUGACAAAUCACUCCAGUAUCUUUGCCAAGAAAACCCCACAUGGAAUCAUGAAGUAUUGGACAUGCCUGAAAUGGCUUGACAACAAAAAUGUUCCAAAUAAUAAUAGACAAGAUAGAAAGACACAAGGAAAAUUGUAUCUAUUUUUAAGAAGCUUACAUUCUAUGGAGGAAGAACAUAGAUUCUAACAUUUAGCGGCUUUUUAUAAUAUGUUAUCAUGGUAGAAAUAAUAUUGGACUUGGAAUAA